GACGAACGCUGGCGGCGCGCCUAACACAUGCAAGUCGAACGAGAGAUGAGGAGCUUGCUCUUCAAAUCGAGUGGCGAACGGGUGAGUAACGCGUGAGGAACCUGCCUCAAAGAGGGGGACAACAGUUGGAAACGACUGCUAAUACCGCAUAAGCCCACAGCUCGGCAUCGAGCAGAGGGAAAAGGAGCAAUCCGCUUUGAGAUGGCCUCGCGUCCGAUUAGCUAGUUGGUGAGGUAACGGCCCACCAAGGCGACGAUCGGUAGCCGGACUGAGAGGUUGAACGGCCACAUUGGGACUGAGACACGGCCCAGACUCCUACGGGAGGCAGCAGUGGGGAAUAUUGCACAAUGGGGGAAACCCUGAUGCAGCGACGCCGCGUGGAGGAAGAAGGUCUUCGGAUUGUAAACUCCUGUUGUUGAGGAAGAUAAUGACGGUACUCAACAAGGAAGUGACGGCUAACUACGUGCCAGCAGCCGCGGUAAAACGUAGGUCACAAGCGUUGUCCGGAAUUACUGGGUGUAAAGGGAGCGCAGGCGGGAGAACAAGUUGGAAGUGAAAUCCAUGGGCUCAACCCAUGAACUGCUUUCAAAACUGUUUUUCUUGAGUAGUGCAGAGGUAGGCGGAAUUCCCGGUGUAGCGGUGGAAUGCGUAGAUAUCGGGAGGAACACCAGUGGCGAAGGCGGCCUACUGGGCACCAACUGACGCUGAGGCUCGAAAGUGUGGGUAGCAAACAGGAUUAGAUACCCUGGUAGUCCACACCGUAAACGAUGAUUACUAGGUGUUGGAGGAUUGACCCCUUCAGUGCCGCAGUUAACACAAUAAGUAAUCCACCUGGGGAGUACGACCGCAAGGUUGAAACUCAAAGGAAUUGACGGGGGCCCGCACAAGCAGUGGAGUAUGUGGUUUAAUUCGACGCAACGCGAAGAACCUUACCAAGUCUUGACAUCCCUUGACGAACAUAGAAAUAUGUUUUCUCUUCGGAGCAAGGAGACAGGUGGUGCAUGGUUGUCGUCAGCUCGUGUCGUGAGAUGUUGGGUUAAGUCCCGCAACGAGCGCAACCCUUAUGGUCAGUUACUACGCAAGAGGACUCUGGCCAGACUGCCGUUGACAAAACGGAGGAAGGUGGGGAUGACGUCAAAUCAUCAUGCCCUUUAUGACUUGGGCUACACACGUACUACAAUGGCGUUAAACAAAGAGAAGCAAGACCGCGAGGUGGAGCAAAACUCAGAAACAACGUCCCAGUUCGGACUGCAGGCUGCAACUCGCCUGCACGAAGUCGGAAUUGCUAGUAAUCGUGGAUCAGCAUGCCACGGUGAAUACGUUCCCGGGCCUU
rnacentral:rRNA from 1 species